CACUGUUUCUUGUGAUGUUGUCCACGCGAGAUUUGCUCAUACAUAAAAUAAUAUGGAAAAAAUGGAUAGACGGCGUCAAUGAAACACAUACGUCAUGGUAGGCCCAUACAGCACCAACCACUAGCCCGCGUCUCCACAGCUUCCGUGCAGAAAACAGGUGUUCCCUGAGUAUUCCCGUCUCCUUUCCGAGUGACUGUGCAUCAAGCAUCGUUCUCUACCGGAGUAUCAAAUAGCUCCGUCCAAUAGCUUCAUAUCGUUCGACACAGAGAUAGAGAGGCUGAAAGCAAGGGUCUGAGCGAGGAAGAAAAUGGAAAAGCUGAAGGCUCUGUUUUCCCAUCCAUCCGAAGCAGAUUAUCUCCAUUGCAACUCCGGACGAUUUCCCUCGUUCUCCUCACUUGUCGACUUAUUCCUUUCUUCACCUCAUUUCCACCAGAUUGUCUGAGAAGCAACGUGCCGAGAGAUGGGGCUGUGGAUUGUCGUAAGACUGCAAUGUCUGCUUUGGAUUGAAAGUGGAAAGGGAACAAUUGCUUUUCGAGCGGAUGUUUCAUCAAUGCUUUUGGAUUCUACACUCAGAUUGGGUAUUCUACACACAUGUGACAGGUUGGUAUACACCAAUGGUGGAAAGAAUUGCGGCCGCGUAUAUGCAAGGUAUUAAACAAUGGUCAAGUAACUGCUCAUUACUUAACGGUAAGGGUGGGAACCAUUAUGCAUAAUGAGCCAUAACGCCCGAUACAGAAAAAUAAAAAUA